GCUGUCUUGACAUCACUUUUGCUUGGGGAAGAUCCUCCAUUAUACAAGCCAAAGUUAGCAGAUCACUAAGUAUUUAUACCCUGUAAGUAGAUUCAUUCUUGAAAUUAAUUAAUACAAGUGUGAUUGAUUUGCAUUGUCUUCAUAAACUUUUUGAGGUAUUUCAACUGUACUAGACAUAGAUAUUGAAACAUAAAAGGGAAAGGGGAGGAGAGAAGGAUAUCUUUAAGGCGGCGAGACUUGCUAUUACGGAUAUCAGCUUUCAUUCAAUAAUCUUGUCACAGAAUGAUUGACACCCCCCUCUCUUACCUACAUCUAAACUGAAAAUGAAGUCAAAGGGAUUGAGUCAUGUAGAUCUGUGUGCUGCUACAGAUUCAUCGAGUUGGAUGCACACUGCUGAAUAACUUUACUUGUUUUCAUCUAAGGUGCAUCGAUUGCAACAAAUAGAAAUCAAACUCCAGUGUGGAGACUGCUAGAAUAGUUUUGAUAUUUUUGUAUGUAUUCAAGAAGAAUUAAGACAGAUA
rnacentral:misc_RNA from 1 species